rnacentral:rRNA from 1 species
UAACCUGCCCAAGAGAUCGGGAUAACACCUGGAAACAGAUGCUAAUACCGGAUAACAACAGAUGAUGCCUAUCAACUGUUUAAAAGAUGGUUCUGCUAUCACUCUUGGAUGGACUUGCGGUGCAUUAGCUAGUUGGUAGGGUAACGGCCUACCAAGGCGAUGAUGCAUAGCCGAGUUGAGAGACUGAUCGGCCACAUUGGGACUGAGACACGGCCCAAACUCCUACGGGAGGCAGCAGCC